rnacentral:rRNA from 1 species
CCUACGGGCGGCAGCAGUGGGGAAUAUUGCACAAUGGGGGGAACCCUGAUGCAGCGACGCCGCGUGAAGGAAGAAGUAUUUCGGUAUGUAAACUUCUAUCAGCAGGGAAGAAAAUGACGGUACCUGACUAAGAAGCCCCGGCUAACUACGUGCCAGCAGCCGCGGUAAUACGUAGGGGGCAAGCGUUAUCCGGAUUUACUGGGUGUAAAGGGAGCGUAGACGGGGAUGCAAGCCAGAUGUGAAAGCCCGGGGCUCAACCCCGGGACUGCAGUUGAAACUGUGUGGCUGGAGUGUCGGAGAGGCAGGCGGAAUUCCUGGUGUAGCGGUGAAAUGCGUAGAUAUUAUGAAGAACACCAGUGGCGAAGGCAGCCUGCUGG